rnacentral:rRNA from 1 species
AGGAUGAACGCUAGCUACAGGCUUAACACAUGCAAGUCGAGGGGCAGCAUUUUAGUUUGCUUGCAAACUGAAGAUGGCGACCGGCGCACGGGUGAGCAACACGUAUCCAACCUGCCGAUAACUCCGGGAUAGCCUUUCGAAAGAAAGAUUAAUACCGGAUAGUAUACGAAUAUCGCAUGAUAUUUUUAUUAAAGAAUUUCGGUUAUCGAUGGGGAUGCGUUCCAUUAGUUUGUUGGCGGGGUAACGGCCCACCAAGACUACGAUGGAUAGGGGUUCUGAGAGGAAGGUCCCCCACAUUGGAACUGAGACACGGUCCAAACUCCUACGGGAGGCAGCAGUGAGGAAUAUUGGUCAAUGGGCGCGAGCCUGAACCAGCCAAGUAGCGUGAAGGAUGAAGGCUCUAUGGGUUGUAAACUUCUUUUAUAUGGGAAUAAAGUUUUCCACGUGUGGAAUUUUGUAUGUACCAUAUGAAUAAGGAUCGGCUAACUCCGUGCCAGCAGCCGCGGUAAUACGGAGGAUCCGAGCGUUAUCCGGAUUUAUUGGGUUUAAAGGGAGCGUAGGUGGAUUGUUAAGUCAGUUGUGAAAGUUUGCGGCUCAACCGUAAAAUUGCAGUUGAAACUGGCAGUCUUGAGUACAGUAGAGGUGGGCGGAAUUCGUGGUGUAGCGGUGAAAUGCUUAGAUAUCACGAAGAACUCCGAUUGCGAAGGCAGCUCACUAGACUGUCACUGACACUGAUGCUCGAAAGUGUGGGGUAUCAAACAGGAUUAGAUACCCUGGUAGUCCACACAGUAAACGAUGAAUACUCGCUGUUUGCGAUAUACAGUAAGCGGCCAAGCGAAAGCAUUAAGUAUUCCACCUGGGGAGUACGCCGGCAACGGUGAAACUCAAAGGAAUUGACGGGGGCCCGCACAAGCGGAGGAACAUGUGGUUUAAUUCGAUGAUACGCGAGGAACCUUACCCGGGCUUAAAUUGCAACAGAAUAUAUUGGAAACAGUAUAGCCGUAAGGCUGUUGUGAAGGUGCUGCAUGGUUGUCGUCAGCUCGUGCCGUGAGGUGUCGGCUUAAGUGCCAUAACGAGCGCAACCCUUAUCUUUAGUUACUAACAGGUGAUGCUGAGGACUCUAGAGAGACUGCCGUCGUAAGAUGUGAGGAAGGUGGGGAUGACGUCAAAUCAGCACGGCCCUUACGUCCGGGGCUACACACGUGUUACAAUGGGGGGUACAGAAGGCGGCUACCUGGUGACAGGAUGCUAAUCCCAAAAACCUCUCUCAGUUCGGAUCGAAGUCUGCAACCCGACUUCGUGAAGCUGGAUUCGCUAGUAAUCGCGCAUCAGCCAUGGCGCGGUGAAUACGUUCCCGGGCCUUGUACACACCGCCCGUCAAGCCAUGAAAGCCGGGGGUACCUGAAGUACGUAACCGCAAGGAGCGUCCUAGGGUAAAACUGGUAAUUGGGGC